GGGGAGAAAAAUAAUUAACCCGUUUGAUCCUCAGAGUUCCAUAACAAUUUGAUAUCAGAAUUCAUGCCAACACCUCCAGAAAUCAACAUAUAAUAUCACUAUGACACUACUUGGUCAUGUUAAUUAUCACAAACAAAAAACACAAUUAUCUUGGAGAGAUCUGCUACAUGAUAUGGAGCAACAAAAGAAAACCAUCUACAAAAGGGGACAAAUUGUGCACAGGAAAAAGUACCUCAGGAAUAAACACAUUGAAACACAUAUUAAGAUGAAAAAUAUGGAAUCAAACUCAACAAUAUUUGACAGAAAUGAAAGACAGAUGUUUCACUUACAUAGGCCUAGUAGCAAGGAAAGACCAACUGAAUUCUAGUUCUUCCAACAGCUUCUUAUCUGACAGCAAUUUUCUGUUGAGCCACAAUCCACUCUCAUCACAGGGGAAGAAAGUCAGAUUAGGGCAUUUAACUUUCUCCAAAUAUACCAAGUCUGGAAAUGCAUCACGCAAUUCUCUCCAAUCUAUUUUUAAAUCACUCAAGUAUUUGACACGUAGUAUUUUAACUUUCCAUUUAUCAUUUGGUCCCUGGGAUUGACCCAGACCACAUAGUUUCCCUCCUCUGAUGUAGAGUUUCUGAAGGCACUCCAGUUUGCUAGGCAUCAGCCAACUGGGAGCUUCAGUUCCUGGGUAACACUGAAGAUCCAGUUUCUCCAAAUCUUUUGGAAGUUCUGGAUUCAAUCUAGUGUCCCUGAUUUCUCCAGAUCCGUUGUCUCGCUUAAAGGCAGUUAAUCUUUUUAAAUUUUUCUUAACACCUGAAAUUUUCCCUGAUUUGCCAAGAGAUUUCCCUCCCCACACCAUUGUUAGCUUUCUAAGUGCUGUAAUACGCUGGAGAGCAUUCAGGUCAUCGACUGUAGGGAAAUCAUCCUUAUUCGUGUAGAUGCUCAAUUUCCUCAGCUUCAACAAUCCUGCCAAAUCAUCAAGAGUACCAUAAUUUUUAACUUUCAAGUCACUAAUUACAAAUCCCUUAAGGACUUGGAGUUUUGUGAGUGACCCGAGCCACUUUGGCAUGUAAUCUAGCAAGUAGCACUCAGAAAUAUCCAAGUGCGUGAGGUUCUCGAGCGACACUAUCUUCUUUGGAAGCGCCUCCAGAUUGUGGCAUGCAUUAAGAUCCAAAAUCCUCAAAUUGGGCAGGUUCCAUAUGGUAUCAGGAAGCACAUCAACUCUAGAGACCCCUUGAAGGCUAAGAUACUUCAGAUACUUCAUAUUCUUCAACCCCUUCAAGAAUUCUAUCCCCUCCACUUCUAUGUGCCUUUUAGUCUCCUCAUCUUCUGUGUGCUUCUUGGACGAGUUAUCCCACCUUCCCAGACAAAGAACAUUAACAUUUUUCAUCAUCAAGAACAAUUCCACUUCAAAAUCAGGAUAAGGAUCAUUGACAUUGAACAAAGUUCGCAAUUUCUGUGGUUGUAGUUUCUCUGGUUCUGGAUGAGUACUUUUAUGUAAAUUAUGAUUAUUUUUCAUUAACAACGGCCGUGAAUAUCCCUCUUCAGUUUUCACUAAGCAAGCCCUUUGACAUGAUGAGAAGUCUGCAGUGGGAUUCCCCAAUCGAUCAAAGUUGAAGAAUCCAGCUUUCUCUGCGCGAGAAAUAACUGCAUAACGAAUCCAAGCAUGCAUUCUAAAUCCAACCAAUCUCCACUUCUUAAUAACAGGCUCAAUGAACCCCUUCCCCAUGAAUAUCUUCAAAAUCUUAUAAGCAACUUCCUCCGCCAAGUUUUUUUUUUUCUCUUCAUUUUGGCCAUUGGAAGGUUCACUUUGGCUCGUUUUCUUUUCCCCAUCAUCUUGAGGAUCUAUUAAACCCUCUCCAACCCACCAAUACAUUAACAGCCUCUUCUUGACAACAGCACCCUCCGGAAACACAGCAAAGCACAGCAAACAAAGCUUGUAACUUGAACAAAGACUGUUAUAACAUUCCUCAAAAUCCUUAAAAGCAGAACAACCUUGAAAUUUUUCAUUCGCAGGUAGUUGAAGCAUUUCAUCGAUCAAGUUACGGGCAUCAAGCCCACUGACUGCUUCUAUAUUCCGGUGCCCCUCAGUUGCCGAAGUCAUCUUAUGGGGUGACGGGAUCUGAAGCUUUAACUUCAUUACCAUAUCAGUAAUAGCCUUAAUAUUGGCAUGGAAUUGCUUGGUUGGGAAAGCAUUUGUCCCAUUCAGAGUCUGCUGUAUGUAGCUGACAACGCUUUUAAGUAUUUGACCUUGUUUUUGAAGAGUCAUAAAUUGCUUACUUACAUUGAGUUCCAGAUCUAUGAGUUUGCUAAAGGCGAUUUGAAUAAAGUUUAGAUCUUUCUCCAACUUCUCCAAUUGUUUGUGCAGUUUUUGAUAGUCUUCGUAGCGAGAGUAGCUGCCACUGUUGUUUGCACCAUUGUCGUCUUUCUUGCUGCUUGAAUCAUUCUGCUCCUUGUCCUUCUCGAAGAAUCCUAACGUCAAACACCCGCCAAAUCUGCUUCCAUCGAUUUCCUUCCUCUCACCAUCUCUGCCAUCGAUUGUGGUGUUUUUGCUGCUCUGGCUGUUGCUGUUGCCACCGGAGGCGGCAGGAGUUAACCGGGGAAAAGAGCCAGUGGCAACAUUCGUGCUAUCGUUGGUGGUGGUCGCCGGAGUGGACAGAGGAACAGAGCCAUCGGAAACAUCUGUGGUAAUGGCACCGUAGUUUUCAGUGGCGGGUUGAGAAGUAAGGCCGCUGCCAACAGCAUUGUUACCAUGGGUGGUGGCAGCGUCAGCGGCUGCGCUAUUGGUGUGUGAUGGGGGUGGGGGAAUGGAGUUCUUGGCUUUGGAGAGGAGAUGGAUCAAGUCAGGGAUAGAAUUGAUGAUAUCUGGAAUGGUUAAGGCAUUAUUAGAAUGAUUUGAUUGUGCAGAAUUCUCAGCAGAUAAUGAGGACAUGAUUAACACUUCUGGAAAUGGAGAUUAAUUUCAUCCACCGAAAAUACACAGAGAUUGAGGGCAGCGAAAGCCAAAAAAAAAAAAA
rnacentral:misc_RNA from 1 species